CCUACGGGAGGCAGCAGUGGGGAAUAUUGGACAAUGGGCGCAAGCCUGAUCCAGCCAUGCCGCGUGAGUGAUGACGGCCUUAGGGUUGUAAAGCUCUUUCACUCGGGACGAUAAUGACGGUACCGAGAUAAGAAGCCCCGGCUAACUUCGUGCCAGCAGCCGCGGUAAU
rnacentral:rRNA from 1 species